GAUGAACGCUGGCGGCGUGCCUAAUACAUGCAAGUCGAGCGAACGGACGAGAAGCUUGCUUCUCUGAUGUUAGCGGCGGACGGGUGAGUAACACGUGGAUAACCUACCUAUAAGACUGGGAUAACUUCGGGAAACCGGAGCUAAUACCGGAUAAUAUUUUGAACCGCAUGGUUCAAAAGUGAAAGACGGUCUUGCUGUCACUUAUAGAUGGAUCCGCGCUGCAUUAGCUAGUUGGUAAGGUAACGGCUUACCAAGGCAACGAUGCAUAGCCGACCUGAGAGGGUGAUCGGCCACACUGGAACUGAGACACGGUCCAGACUCCUACGGGAGGCAGCAGUAGGGAAUCUUCCGCAAUGGGCGAAAGCCUGACGGAGCAACGCCGCGCGAGUGAUGAAGGUCUUCGGAUCGUAAAACUCUGUUAUUAGGGAAGAACAUAUGUGUAAGUAACUGUGCACAUCUUGACGGUACCUAAUCAGAGAGCCACGGCUAACUACGUG
rnacentral:rRNA from 1 species